AGAUUUAACCUGCCCACUGAUAAUUAUUUAAUGGCCGCGGUAUUUUGACCGUGCAAAGGUAGCAUAAUAAUUAGUUUUUUUAUUGAAAGCUGGAAUGAAUGGUUGGACGAGGAAAUUUCUGUCUCUGGCUAAUUUUUUAUAAAAUUUUAUUUUUAAGUUAAAAAGCUUAAAUUUUUUUAAAAGACGAGAAGACCCUAUAGAGUUUAACAUUUUCAAGAUAGUAUGUUUUAGGAAUUAAAUUUUUAUUUUUUUGGUUUUGUUUUAUUGGGGUGAUAGAAAGAUUUAAUUAACUCUUUUUUUAUUUUUACAUUAAUAUAUGAUUGAUUGAUCCGUUUUUACGAUUAUAAGAAUAAAUUACCUUAGGGAUAACAGCGUAAUCUUUUUAGAGAGUUCUUAUCGAGAUAAAGGGUUGCGACCUCGAUGUUGGAUUAAAGUUAAUUUUUGGUGCAGAAGCUUAAAAAUUGAGUCUGUUCGACUUUUGAAACUUUACAUGAUCUGAGUUUAAACCGGCGUGAGCCAGGUUGGUUUCUAUCUUUAGACUAUGAAAAUAUUUUAGUACGAAAGGACCAA
rnacentral:rRNA from 1 species